CUCUCCAAGCUGGGCGGGUCGUCCUUGCCGGCCGGCACCUCGGGUAGCGAGCCCCGAGGGCAGAGGAGCCGGCUCCACCCGGCCUGGCCCCGAACCCUCCGCGGCGCCGGCCAAUCGCCGCUGCCAUCCUCCCGCUGGGGUGAUGUCUUCAGGUGUCCGGGAGGGGAGAAAGCCCUGCGUACUUCCAGCCCCGCUCCUGUGCCAGGAACCGGCGGCCCUCCGAGCCCUCCGCAGCCGGCCUCCGGGCCCCGAGCGCGGUGAGUCCGCUUGCCCGCUCGCCCGCUCGCUCGCUCGCUGGUCCAUCCGCCUCCUCACCUUCAGGACCCGGAUCCCUCCCGGCCGGCGGCUCGCGGGCGCUUCGGGCGGCUCCGGGGGCUCCAGCGGGCCCGCGGGCCCCGGCUCCACCUCCCCCAUCGGCGACCCAGGCUGCACAGAGACGCCCGGCCCGCGCGACGGCGUGCGGAACCUCGGCGGCGCGCGCAAGCAACCGGUGGCCCCGCCCCCCGCGGCCCGCCGGCUCCGCCCCUCCGGCGGCUCGCCGGCUCCGCCCCUCCCGCGCCCCGCUGGACCUAAGCAGCUGCGGGCGCCGAGUGGCCCGGGCGCCACCGAGCCGCAUCCCGGCCGCGGCCCGCGUGGCGGAACCUGGCACCACCGCAGGGCGCGGGGCCUCCACUGCCCGCCGCCCUAGGCUUGGAGGACUAGAGCUCAAGGAGGGGUAUUUGCUGCUUUCCCCGCCCUCUAAAAAACCCGCGGGAGAAAGAAGCAGGUGGCGCCGG
rnacentral:antisense_RNA from 1 species